GGAUCCCUCAGCUGAGUGGCUCUGCUGAGGUUAUAGGGUGUUUGUAGUGCUGCAGUGCUUCAGGCUGGACUGUCUAAGAAAAAGGCAAUUUUCAUGUACCGUCUCCUGAUCUGUUUGUACCGUGACAGCAACGGAGUCCUAACUGCCUGAGAGUUCACCAAGAACUGUCCAGUGGGUGACUCUCUGCUCCUCCACAGCAAAAGCUGGCUGAGGAAAUACAACUUGCUGAAGGCGGUUACCUUUGUUCGAAGCCAACUGAGACAGCGCCAGCACUCAGUAAUUACAGCCAUACAGUUUCCAGGAGACUCCUUCUUCACCAGACCUGUCGUCUCAUGUCCCCAUUUGUAACACUGUUCAUUAUAUUCAACCUGCUGCCGUCACUCCAGAGCUUUCAAAAGGUAUUCUGUGGGCUAUCGUGCUGCAGGACACGGAUAAUGAAAUAGUUAGACGUGACUUGUAUUAUAAUCGGCUCACCUAACUUUCAUUUGGCUUGAAAAGUAGACUUAAUAAAAGCAAGAGUGAAAGGCAUUUUAUGUUUUUAAUAAGGAGUCUCAUAUGGUAU